AGCAGCCGCGGUAAUUCCAGCUCCAAUAGCGUAUAUUAAAGUUGUUGCAGUUAAAAAGCUCGUAGUUGAAUUUCGGGGUUCUACCGUUGGUCAGGCUUUGUCUGUACUGGCGUGUAGAAUUUCUACCUUCUGGGGAACCAUCAUGUUAUUAAUUUAGUGUGAUGGGAAACCAGGACCUUUACCUUGAAAAAUUAGAGUGUUCAAAGCAGGCUUAUGUCUGAAUACAUUAGCAUGGAAUAAUAGAAUAGGACGGUGGUCCUGUUUUGUUGGUUUCUGAAUCACCGUAAUGAUUAAUAGGGAUAGUUGGGGGCAUUAGUAUUCAAUUGUCAGAGGUGAAAUUCUUGGAUUUAUUGAAGACUAACUUCUGCGAAAGCAUUUGCCAAGGAUGUUUUCAUUAAUCAAGAACGAAAGUUAGGGGAUCGAAGACGAUCAGAUACCGUCGUAGUCUUAACCAUAAACUAUGCCGACUAGGGAUCGGACGAUGUUAACUUUUCUUG
rnacentral:rRNA from 1 species